GCAUCGGUGGUUUAGUGGUAAAAUUAGCCGUUGCCAUUCAUCUACAUUCAACCAAAUGUAUACGAAUAAUUCGGCUAGCCCCGGGUUCGAUUCCCGGCCGAUGCA
rfam:Stagonospora sp. SRC1lsM3a unplaced genomic scaffold IQ06scaffold_22, whole genome shotgun sequence.